AGUGUAUUAGUUCAGUCGGUUAGAGCGCUACCCUGUCACGGUAGAAGUCAUGGGUUCGAGUCCCAUAUACACUG
rnacentral:tRNA from 1 species